CGGUGACUGUAUUAGCGCAGCGCGCACCGGCUCGGUCUUUCCGUCCCGGGCUUGGUGGCCGACCCACCGGAGCCGAUCCCCACUGCCCAGCCGUGCUGCUGCCUCGGACACAAGCACAGGUACGUCCCGGCAUUGAUCGGAGGCAGGCCCAGGCCACGUGGCGGAGAAGACUCGGGUUCCGGGCCUGCCUUUGUUGAGCUGCGCAGGUCCUCCCCAGUCGCCCUUUCCUGUGCCCUUUUAAGGUUGUCGCGGUACUUUAAGAGGCUAACACAGAAGGGUAAAGGAACUCUCCAUUAAACCCAGAGAGGAAAGCUACACCUCCUCUCUGGAUCCUGUCUGGAGUCACAAAUUAGCCAGAAGCUACAUUUGAAACUUGAAUGUGUGCAUUUUAGGUUCUGGCGAUUGCUAGGUAGUGACGUGGUAUAGGAUUUUUAAAAAGUGGCCUACGCGGUUUAAUUUGAUUGGAGGGAAAAGUUCAGGAGACAAGAAUACAUUCGCUUUUCUAGAAAUGAGAUUUUAGGUCAGCUGAAAAGGAUAUUGUUCAGUAUUUUCCACUCAUGUGAAACAUUUUUAUUCUUUCGUAGGUUGACAACUACGAGAAAGAAAUUCGUGACUGAAUGGAUCCAAGGUGAAGUAUUACAUGUGGUAACCAGGCUUGCCUGUAUUCCACCUUAGGAUUAGUGUCCAAGCUGAAAUAGGUGAAGUCCAUUUUACAGAUAGAGUGAGGGCCAUGUGAGUUUCCUUGGAUGGCCUUGUAACUGAUUACCCUGAAGGUAGUUUCCUAAAGUUUUUAUCAAUGUACUAGGAUCCUGCCCCACCCCUUCUGCAUGUCUAGCUGUCCUAGAAUCAGAUCCACAUGGCUAUGACAUGCUGGCGGUUUUAAAGAUGCAGACAAACAAGAUUUCAUGCUAGCUCAUUAGAAUGUAUCUGGACUUCAUGCUAGGACAAGUUCUUUGCUAGUAACCAGUCACGUGCUAGCAAUUGAGGUGUGUUGACCUGUAUAUUGUUGCCUAUGAGUAAUUUUCCAUAAUCUUAAAUAAAGCACUUUUCCUGUGUCAAUUCC
ensembl:processed_transcript